rnacentral:snRNA from 1 species
GUGCUCGCUUCGGCAGCACAUACACUAAAAUUGGGAUGAUGCAGAGAUUAGCGUGGCCCCGCGCAAGGAUGACAUGCAAAUUCGUGAACACACACACACACAC